GCAGGCCUAGAACAGCUGGGCCAAGGGCUGAGGGCCACUUCCAGAAGCAGAUUCUUCUCCCUUCCAUUUCUGUUGUUGUUGCCCAGCAACAAUUUGAGAGGCCCCAGAGAGAUUCCAAAGGCCUGAGGACUUGGCACAAAAUGGAAUUUACCAGCUAGACAGAAGAGACAGGGAAAGAAACUGAUGGCAUUGAUCAUACUGAACGCCAUCAUGAAGGAGGUUUGAGAUACUGCUUUUUCCUCUCUGUGAAGUCCUGAGUCCAUGGAAAGGCCGAGGGGAGAAACAUCGGCAGCAACAUGGCAGCUCUAUUAGUGAUGGAAACUGGAUUGGGAAAUGCGAUAUCACAUCUGUCACCUAGAGGUUUUGGCAACAAUAUUUCGGCCUAGAAUUCAGUCCAGCACAUUCAGUGUACUGUGCUUACCCAGCUUCUGGCAGAGUGGGACAGCGGAAGCUUCCUGGAAAGGAAGAAGCUCUUGUUACCCGGUGGAAAGCAGAUCGCAAUGGAUACUUCCUGCAGUCAGUCAAGCUUCUGAAAGUAGAGGAUCAGGGAGGAGCUAAGAAAAGCAGCGGUCAAGAUAAACUAAGCCCCUUAUCCCCAACCCACAAAUAAAAUGCUUCAGUCUUUCUUCCAUGGGAA